AAAAAGGACUUGAGGCCAUUUCCUCCCCUUCCCAGACUUACUUGCUGGCCACGGACAAAGAAGCAUUCAUGACAUCUGAAGAACAAAGGAAGCAACGUUGGACUGGGGGGGAGGGAUCCUGACUGAUAGAUGUUCAGCCAGUACAACUGCUGAAACGUGUGGGAGCUGUGAGUGUUCAGGGCCUCUUAGGAUCAAGCUGUAAAUAGAAAAAAGUAAGAAAAUAAUAUCAAAC